rnacentral:lncRNA from 1 species
CUCCUGAACCAUUCCUGUGUUGGGAGAUGCACCAGCUCAGCUCAGACAAAAGCAAUGGGAAAUGGGAGCCCACUCCAUUGGGUCUUUUGCUUCAUGCUACAUUAUCUGGAAACUCCCUUGGGGUUGUUCAGCUGCAGGGAUAUUUAGGAUUUAGGCAGUGGUGCUGAUGAGAUUAGAGUAGCUGGGAGUGUAGGAGAACCAUUUGUUACUUCUGUAGUUCAACAUAAGAUCACAACUUGCCUUGAAGGCAUAUUACCACUACUGCCAUGUGAGUCUGGUCCAAGGCCUGGCCAGGACAAACCCUCAUCGCGGGGAGCUUCAUUGUAUCUGAAAAGUAAUGAGGUGUGGAGCCAAUUAGCAGCCAUUUGCAGGAUGGUUGUGUUAGAGCUGCUGCUUCCUUCCAAACUAUUACCCGGCUCCGCUAAUUCUCACGUCCCGUUUUAAAACACGGCGAUGAGGUGUUGUGUUUGCUUUAUUUAAUACCCGCUCCUCUACAGCAAAGAUUUGUUUUUCCUCGGUAAGAGUUUACACCUUCAUUAAUAUCCUUUACGAGUUUACGUGCUCUUCACAAGCAAUAGUAAACU